GGUGGCUCAGUGGUAGAGUGCUUGCCUUGCAUGCAUGAGUCCCUGAGUUUGAUUCCUCAGCACCA
rfam:Dipodomys ordii contig_36644, whole genome shotgun sequence.